rnacentral:lncRNA from 1 species
GCUAUGGAUCUUAUCCUUAGCUCUAGCGGAACUGACGUGUUGCUCUUUAGAUGAUGGCUGCUAUCCUGUCUUCAUUUUAUUUGUCGACUGCACUUGCAAACAUGAUGUCGAGAAUUUUUUCAUCUGGAUGUGCUUACCUGUGAUGAUAGGCUCAAGGAGGGAGACAACAAUGCCUCAUUUUUCCAUAGAGGCUUCUGUUAGAAAGAUAUACGAUCUUGUUACCAAUAUCUCCUA